AUGGCCUGGGCUCCGCUCUUCCUCACCCUCUUUGCUCACUGCACAGGGUCUUGGGCUGAGGUUGUGUUCACUCAGCCCCAAUCUGUGUCAGGGUCUCUGGGACAGACAGUCACCAUCUCCUGCACCCGCAGCAGUGGCAGCAUUGAUGAUAGAUAUGUGCACUGGUACCAGCAGCGCCCGGGCAGUGCCCCCACCACUGUGAUUUAUGAAGAUAACCAAAGACCCUCAGGGGUUCCUGAUCGGUUCUCUGGCUCCGUCGACAGCUCCUCCAAUGUCGCCUCCCUGACCAUCUCUGGGCUGCGGCCUGAGGACGAGGCCGACUACUACUGUCAGUCUUCUGAUGGCAGCUAUAUUCACACAGUGCACCAGAGCCAUGGGGAAGUCAGUUUUGUCCAGAGGGCAGCUUAUAAUGAAGACCUGUGUCCAGUAAACAUGCGAGCAGACCUGUAG